rnacentral:rRNA from 1 species
UGCAGUCGAGCGGACAGAAGGGAGCUUGCUCCCGGAUGUUAGCGGCGGACGGGUGAGUAACACGUGGGUAACCUGCCUGUAAGACUGGGAUAACUCCGGGAAACCGGAGCUAAUACCGGAUAGUUCCUUGAACCGCAUGGUUCAAGGAUGAAAGACGGUUUCGGCUGUCACUUACAGAUGGACCCGCGGCGCAUUAGCUAGUUGGUGGGGUAAUGGCUCACCAAGGCGACGAUGCGUAGCCGACCUGAGAGGGUGAUCGGCCACACUGGGACUGAGACACGGCCCAGACUCCUACGGGAGGCAGCAGUAGGGAAUCUUCCGCAAUGGACGAAAGUCUGACGGAGCAACGCCGCGUGAGUGAUGAAGGUUUUCGGAUCGUAAAGCUCUGUUGUUAGGGAAGAACAAGUGCGAGAGUAACUGCUCGCACCUUGACGGUACCUAACCAGAAAGCCACGGCUAACUACGUGCCAGCAGCCGCGGUAAUACGUAGGUGGCAAGCGUUGUCCGGAAUUAUUGGGCGUAAAGGGCUCGCAGGCGGUUUCUUAAGUCUGAUGUGAAAGCCCCCGGCUCAACCGGGGAGGGUCAUUGGAAACUGGGAAACUUGAGUGCAGAAGAGGAGAGUGGAAUUCCACGUGUAGCGGUGAAAUGCGUAGAGAUGUGGAGGAACACCAGUGGCGAAGGCGACUCUCUGGUCUGUAACUGACGCUGAGGAGCGAAAGCGUGGGGAGCGAACAGGAUUAGAUACCCUGGUAGUCCACGCCGUAAACGAUGAGUGCUAAGUGUUAGGGGGUUUCCGCCCCUUAGUGCUGCAGCUAACGCAUUAAGCACUCCGCCUGGGGAGUACGGUCGCAAGACUGAAACUCAAAGGAAUUGACGGGGGCCCGCACAAGCGGUGGAGCAUGUGGUUUAAUUCGAAGCAACGCGAAGAACCUUACCAGGUCUUGACAUCCUCUGACAACCCUAGAAGAUAGGGCUUUCCCUUCGGGGACAGAGUGACAGGUGGUGCAUGGUUGUCGUCAGCUCGUGUCGUGAGAUGUUGGGUUAAGUCCCGCAACGAGGCCAACCCUUUGAUCUUAAGUUGCCAGCAUU